CUUGAAAUUCACUUAAUUUUCAACUCUGUUAGCUGUGAGAACCUGCUUGACUGCCGGAGGUCGACUUUCUGCUGCUCCAUACAAAAGCUGUUACAGUCCCUGCCUCAGGAAGGGUAGCCUGCUGUGAGAUUGGUCAGUGAUGCCAAUGACUGGUAGAAAGCAACAUCUAAAUAUUAGAAAAGGCAAUGCGAAAAACAAGGUAGCCUGGAAAC